GCCUAACACAUGCAAGUCGAACGGUAACAGUCCUUCGGGAGCUGACGAGUGGCGCACGGGUGAGUAACGCGUGGAUAUCUGCCUAUGAGUGGGGGACAACUUUCGGAAACGGAAGCUAAUACCGCAUACACUUUACGGAGUAAAGCAGGGGACCUUCGGGCCUUGUGCUCAUAGAUGAGUCCGCGUCAGAUUAGCUAGUUGGUAGGGUAAAAGCCUACCAAGGCGAUGAUCUGUAACUGGUUUGAGAGGAUGAUCAGUCACACUGGAACUGAGACACGGUCCAGACUUCUACGGAAGGCAGCAGUGGGGAAUUUUGCACAAUGGGCGCAAGCCUGAUGCAGCGAUGCCGCGUGUGGGAAGAAGGCUUUAGGGUUGUAAACCACUUUCAAUUGGGAAGAAGAGAUGGGCGUUAAUAACGCUCUGAUUUGACGGUACCUUUAGAAGAAGCACCGGCUAAUUUCGUGCCAGCAGCCGCGGUAAUACGAAAGGUGCAAGCGUUGUUCGGAUUUACUGGGCGUAAAGAGAUCGUAGGUGGUUUGUUAAGUUGGAUGUGAAAUCCCGGGGCUCAACCUCGGAACUGCAUCCAAAACUGACGGACUUGAGUUUGGGAGGGGUAAGCGGAAUUCCGUGUGUAGCAGUGAAAUGCGUAGAUAUACGGAGGAACACCUGAGGCGAAGGCGGCUUACUGGACCAAUACUGACACUGAGGAUCGAAAGCGUGGGUAGCAAACAGGAUUAGAUACCCUGGUAGUCCACGCCCUAAACGAUGUCAACUAGCCGUUGCGGGUAUCGACCCCUGCAGUGGCGCAGCUAACGCGAUAAGUUGACCGCCUGGGGAGUACGGU
rnacentral:rRNA from 1 species